rnacentral:rRNA from 1 species
CAGUAGCCGCGGUAAUACGAAGGGGGCUAGCGUUGCUCGGAAUUACUGGGCGUAAAGGGAGCGUAGGCGGAUCGUUUAGUCAGGGGUGAAAUCCCGGGGCUCAACCUCGGAACUGCCUUUGAUACUGGCGAUCUUGAGUAUGGGAGAGGUGUGUGGAACUCCGAGUGUAGAGGUGAAAUUCGUAGAUAUUCGGAAGAACACCAGUGGCGAAGGCGACACACUGGCCCAUUACUGACGCUGAGGCUCGAAAGCGUGGGGAGCAAACAGGAUUAGAUACCCGCGUAGUCCCUGUCUCUUAUAC